rnacentral:misc_RNA from 1 species
CUUAGAUUAAAUUAAGCUUCCUUGUUUUGUUGAAAAAGGUCGAGUCCUUUAAAACACGUCCAACAAGUCCCACAGUCGGGCUUUCACCAAAACAAGGAAGCUUAAUUUAAUCUAAGCCAUGAGCAUGAUAGAAAGGGGCAAGUUUCAGUCGGCAAAUGAUAGUGUCAUAGGCAAAUAAUCUCUUAAUUUACAACUACCACUCUCU